rnacentral:tRNA from 1 species
GCCGUGGUGGCGGAAUUGGUAUACGCAGCGGACUUAAAAUCCGUGCCCGAAAGGGAUGGGAGUUCGAGUCUCCCCCGCGGCA